UAUCUAGAUCUACUCUAGUUUAGAGAAGAGAGGAGAGCUCUCAUCUCUAAACCCUAGUUUUUGCUCUGUCUAUGAAUAAUGAAUAAUGAUCAAGGGGUGCCACCUCCAGGGGCCAGGGGGUCUGGUUUUAUAGUCCCCUCAAGUGAAUCUAGGCCGUCGGAUCAAACCGACAUUGAUUGAACGGUUAUUCUUGAUCCUUUAGGUCGGUGGAGCAUAAUCCGCGAGAUUGAGCGUGAUUGGCCACAGGAGGUGGGCGGGCGCCCAGUAGGACAGGGCGGGCGCCCUGUCUCUGGCCCCGUUUCGCCUCCGCUUCGGUCUCGUGGCUUCUGGAGUCUUCUAGAUGUAAGAUAAUUGCGCAGCACGUUAAUAUCUUUACGUAAUCCCGAUAUGUGGGCCUUUCUUCCGUAUUUCCUGAUAACCCCCUGCAGAAAUAGACAAACACCAAAACUCGUGGAAUUCUAUCAGAUAAAACCCUAAGUCUUGAUGUUGAUUUCAUUUGGAUCCUUUUCUUUGUUUAUUUGAUAGUUAAAUUUGAUACUUAAGGACCGUCAACAAACUCCCCCAAGCUUACCUCUUGCUCGUCCCUGAGCAAGGAUAGACUCAGCAAUGGAUCAGAAGUUGUUGCAAUAUCUUAAAAAUUUAACGGUACACAUGCUUUUAAAUAAGAUCUCAUCUCUGAGUUAGAGUAAACUGUCAAGAACUAAAACUUACUUACUUUACCUUUCACCAUGGGACUUGUAACUGUCACUUCUGUCUUGAGUAGUUAAAAGAUAGAACAGUCUAGCCAAGUGCCAUGUCUCUUAUUCUUGAUCAGCUAUAGCUCUGGAGUUUUUUGUAGAUUUUCAAAUAAAACUCACAGAUUCCUUGUAUGACUCUCUAAAUCUCUCUUUUGUGGUAUUUCUGGAUCCUUACCAAGGCAGUGAUGGUAUAUGCCUUCUCUCAAGAUAUAUGGUAUUUGUGGUAUAAGGCAUAGUGACAUUGUCUUCUCUCUCACCCUACUCUAAUAAGGCUUUAAUAUCUGGAGCUUAUAGGUGGGAGAUAAAGUAUACAUACUUACAAGACAUUUAUUGUGUAGUCAAACCAUGGAUCCAAAGAAACAAAUCAAUAAGCCAAAUCAAGAUGUGCAUGUGUGGCGAAUGAAUGGUGUAUGGUGAUGAUGGUGAUAACAAUGGUGAAAGUCUAAUUCUACUUUUGCUCUUUUGAGGAGAUACAUACCUUCCUUGCUUUUUGAAACUUUAUGAGGAGAAUGAGAUCCUCUUCUUUUUCUUUCCUCUCAGGUGGGUAUCUUGUACCCCUAAUUCUACUGUCGGACACUUGUCCAUUUUUACCUCUCGUCUCACUUUUUCUUUCUUUCGAGGUUCCGGGCACUUGCCCCUUUUUAUUUCCUCGUUUAUUAUUAUUUUUUUCUUUUCUUUUCUUUUCUUUUCUUUUUUUUUCAGAGCACUCAUAUCCUGAAAUAAUGUAGCAAGUGGUAGUAACCAAAAUAACUGGAGCAUUUAUUUCACAGGGAAUAACAGGGAUAGGAAAAUGUUUUUGGCUAUUCUCUCCCGGAUUAGGAGUAGAAUGAUUUUGGGUGAAACUGGAGAUGGAAAUGGAUGGAUAUAUGUGGAUGGUACUUCCGGAGUAGAAGUAGCAUAUAUGAGUGAACGUGCAAGUGAAUCUUGAUUUAACCACAUGACAAGCUCCUAUGGGUCUACACAGCUUGACCACACUCAAUGCUCAUAAGCAGUAAAUAAUAAAUGUGUGGCUCAAAGUCUAGCAAGCAUGUAUAUAUGGCUGUGGUAGGAAUUUAAACUUUCAUCAUACAGGAACUCAUCAUGCAACAUUUUAAAGAUUUUUCAAAGAUAAAAUUCUCCAGAAUUCUAGCAUCUCUUGGAAUAGAUAAACAGCAGCUCAACCUUCCCAUAUCAUAUCCGUUAACAACUUAGAUUUCACAUCAAGUUUUCAUCCCACAAGUUUAGAUCUAGAGCAAGCUUUAAAUUAUAACAGUUAUGUCUAAACUUGAGAGAGAACUUCAAAUUUGCAAAUUAGGCAGAGCAACUAUUCAUCAUAUCCAUGCUAGAGUUUUAGUAUUAAGAUUCAUAUUAGCAUAGCCACUUUAUUUAUUUAUUAAACACACUAAGCAAAAGAUAUAUAUAUAAAGGUUUUACCCGGUUAAAGCUUUUAUCAUAUCCACAGGGAAACGGGAGAACCAACUACGCUCUAACUUAACCAAGAUAGAUAGAUAGGUGUAAAUAGGAAAGAUGAUAGAAUCGAAUAAGAACAAUAUUAAAGGUAAGAUAACAGUGAG
rnacentral:lncRNA from 1 species